GGUUGGCUGGAACUUAGCCGAACCACGAACCAGAGCUUUGAAGACACCCCCCAUACGGAAUCGAACGAACCGACCUCGACCAAGCCACCGCCACCCCCGCACGGAGUCCACGCGCCGCAUGGCAGAGUACGAUGAACCCUCCGAGGGCACCGCCGCCACCGGGAGGUAUCUGUCCAGCGACGCCCGCUCCCAGCAUGAUGAACAGCCUCACAAGGAAAGGUCCUCAAAAUCUAGAGAGAGGGAUAGAGAACGAGAGGAGGGCAAAGACAGGGAGCGUGACAGAGACCGUGGGAGAGAGAGAGCAAGGUACGGGGACAGGGAGAUGGGCUAUGAGCAUGGUGACCGGAACAGGGAUCGUGAUCGCCACCAUCAGGAGCAUCGUGAAAGAAGUGAAAGAAGGGAGCACCGUGGUCGCUCUGAUGAUCAUGAUUAUCGUCGGAGCCGUAAUCAUGAGUCUGAAAGAAGAGAGCGUGAUAGAGAUGGCCAUCGCAGGCAACGGUCCCGCUCCCGCUCCCGUUCAAGGGCUCAAAGCAAGCGUGUGAGUGGAUUUGAUCAGGGACCAUCACAAACCAUUUCUAUAGCUGCUCCCAGUGUAACCCCAGGUCUGCUACCUGCAGUUCCUGCUGCUAUUCCUGCGAUGCUUCCAAACAUGUUUAAUAUACCCAUAGCAGGACAGCCGCAAGCAAUGACACAACAGGCUACUCGGCAUGCUCGGCGUGUUUAUGUCGGUGGACUUCCUCCAAGCGCUAAUGAACAGACGGUUGCUAUAUACUUCAAUCAUGUUAUGGCUGCUAUUGGAGGAAACGCAGCUGGUCUAGGUGAUGCAGUUGUUAAUGUAUACAUAAACCAUGACAAGAAAUUUGCAUUUGUUGAGAUGAGGUCUGUGGAGGAAGCUAGCAAUGCAAUGGCCUUGGAUGGUAUAUUGUUUGAGGGAGCACCAGUGAAGGUUAGGAGGCCAACAGACUACAAUCCUUCCCAGGCAGCUGUGUUAGGUCCAAGCCAGCCAAACCCCAAUCUCAAUCUUGCUGCUGUUGGUUUGACACCUGGCUCAGCCGGAGGUUUAGAAGGUCCUGACCGCAUUUUUGUUGGCGGUCUGCCCUAUUAUUUCACAGAGGCUCAAGUGCAGGAGUUGCUUGAAACUUUUGGGCCCCUUCGUGGAUUUGAUAUUGUGAAGGAUAGGGAAACUGGCAACUCGAAGGGCUAUGCCUUCUGUGUAUACCAGGAUCUGGCUGUCACCGACAUUGCAUGUGCUGCUCUUAACGGUAUCCAGUUGGGAGACCGGACUCUCACAGUUAGGCGAGCAAACCAAGGAGCUGCUGAACCUAGGCCAGAGCAUGAAAACAUACUGUUGCAGGCACAGCAUCAGGCACAAAUGAAGGUGGUUUCAGAAGAUGACUUGAGAAAUGAUGAGGAAUACAAAGACAUCUUGGAAGACAUGACUUUUGAAGGGCGCAAAUAUGUGCCACAUAAUACCAUUGCCGAGUCUUUUAUAAUCCGACCUCAUGCAAAACUCUCAAUCGGGCCUAACCUACAGAAGACACUAAUCUUUUUCACCUGGAUUUGAUUGAUUAUAUGUUUGUUUUUUCUCUCUUUCCUGUGUAUGUUCUCACUGAUAAACUCGGACAGGUAACUUGGUGCAAGCCGUGAUCCCACGACCCCAUCCCAAUGGUGUUCCUGUUGCUGGAGUUGGCAAGGUGUUUUUGGAGUAUGCAGAUGUGGAUGGCUCGACCAACGCGAAGGCAGGGAUGCAUGGGAGGAGGUUUGACGGGAAGGUGGUGGAUGCUGUCUUCUACCCCGAGAAGAAGUUUGCUGAUGGAGAGUACGACGGAUAAAUUGAAAUCUUCUGCUUAGUUUUUAUUGCCGGCCGUUAUGUAGUCUACACCAGUUUUAUAUGCUUGUGGAAUUUAUCAGUUGGAUAUUCAGAGUUUUAAUAGAACUUGCUUAAAUUUACUUGCA